rnacentral:misc_RNA from 1 species
ACAUUUUGAAGAAACUACAAAAGAUAAUAUUGAAUCUAAGCAUUUUUUAAUUGAGCAAGAUAAGAGCAGAGAAAGUGAACUUUAUUCUUCAAUCCAUGAAGCAGAUUCCUUGGAAGACAUAAAGCAAUCUGUAUCAGAAAAUUCUUCAACUUCUCCUUCAUUGGCCAUUUCUGAGAAAGUUCCCAUUGUUGAUAAAUCUUUGAAAACAAAAUUUCUUGAAGAUAAAGGAAAUAUGUAUUGUGCACUGGAACAAAAUUUAAAUGCUCAAACAUCUCAGGAAAUUGAAUCUAUGGAUGAUGGUAAAGAGAAAAAGCUUCCAUUUGAAGGAAAGCAGAAAAUUUCACAGCAGAUAAAAGAAGAAUUGCCUGCAUUAGAAAUGCAGAUUCUUCAAUUAUAUAAUGGCAAAAAUGAAGAAGGAAAUCAGAAAGUUUCAAAUAAAGAUAGUGAGCAAGCAAAUUCUGAAUCUUCUCCAGUUGCUAUGGCAUUUACUAUUGCAUUUGAUAGUGAUUUAACAGCAUCACGAAAAAAAUUAGGUAUAAAAGAUAGUAUAAGUCAAUAUGCUCCACGAAAAACUGAACCAGAACGCAGUCCGAUUCAAAAGCUUCGUCCUGGAAAAUUAAAUGAAUCAAAUUCUAAAAAGGCUCUCUCUUUGGAUAUGAAAGAUAUAACUUUAUCAGCUCCAGAUAUUUCAAAGAAAUGGAUUCAGGAAAAUGCCAAACAAUCGCUUCUUUCUCAGUCAACUGAAUCAACUUUAUGGGAUUUAGCAUCAAAAAGAGAACAUAAAGAAAAAGUUUCAUCUGAAGGAAAACUAAGUGAAGCUGCUACUUUUUUAAUCCAAAAAAUGUUAAAUGGUGAGCAAAAGAUUUAUAAUUCUUCUUCAUCAAAUACAGCUAUUGAAUCUUCUCCCAGAAUGACAAAUUGGUCACAAAAUUGGAAUAAAAAAAAUCAGUUGGAUGGCAUUAUAAAAUCUCCAACUAAAGUUUCAUCAGAAUGUAGAAUUAAAAGUCCAGAUGAUGGAUCAGUACUUCAGAAAGAAAUUGAUGAUAAAAGUGAAACUGGGACUUAUACAGUAGAAACAGAUUUAAAUGAUCCUGCAGUGGAUGAAGCAAGACAAAAAAUUGAUGAAAUAUUUGGAAUUCAUAAGAAUAUUGAAAAACUUCAGGCUUCAAAUCUUAAUUCAGAGGAAAAAGAAAAACAGCAUUCUGUUGCAAAUGAACAAAGUAAAUGUUUAGUGAAACCAGUAACACCUAUUACACUUAUAAGCCAGCAAGGGAAUGAAAUAUCCUAUUUAGAAAAAAGCCAUCCUAAAACAAAAACUGAAAAAAAUGCUCGUCCUAAAAGACGUCUUCCUACUCCUCCUAUACCAAAACAGUUGGAUGCAAGCAUAAGUGACAGUUCUGUUGAUAGCAGUAGUAAUAAUGUUACUCGUUUAGGACAUUAUCCCCUUUCUUUGAUUAAAAAAGAGAAGAAACAUCAGUCCAGUCAUAGUAACAAUCAGGACAGCAUUUGUGACUCAUACUCUAAACAAAGUUCUGGUUCCUUACAGAAUACUACUUCAUUUUAUAUUUCAUCAGAUACUUCUGAUCGCAGAUCAAAAUUUUUAGAAAAUGUACAGUCACAAAAACUACAAAAGUCUCUAGGUCUUACAUCCAGCACCAUUGUACCAUCAAGUCAUAUAUCUCUAGACAGUUGUGAUUCUCAAACAAAAUCCAAUAUAGCUCAGCAGGAAAAUUGUCAGAAUGGUGAUGAUGACUCUUUAGAUGGCACAACUUUAUUGCACUAUGUUCCUUCAGAUACUCGGUCAGAAGGAAGUCCUCAAGCUAAAACGCCUCAAAAUGGUAGUGGUUUAUGGAGAAGAAUACCAUGGAAUCUCUCAAAUUCAGAUCUAGAAUUAAAUCGCAGUAAAUCUGAAACUGCAAGUGUUGUAUCUGAUCUUUCCACAAGUACUGAACCCAGUUCUUUAAGUUCCCAAUAUAGUAAAGGUAAAAGUGAUAGUGCUCCGCCAAUGAGACUGAAUAGAGCAUUUGCUUUAAGAAGAGCUCGUUUAGGUAUUGAAUCAGAUAGUGCUACAACUGUUGUUAGUAAAAAAGGUGGUAAAGAAAAUAUCAAACAACAAAGUAGUUCUAACAAAAUUAGUUCUCACCUGAAUCCUCAGCAGUUGUCUCGACAAGAUGGUGGACGAUUUAGUCUUCGUCUACCUAGAAAAUGUACUACAAAAUCAAACGAAAAAUCUGCAUCAAAAUCUAAAGACAGUAAAAGAAAUUCUGCAGCAUCAAAUAAAAAUGGACACAGAAGAAUAGAAAGUGAUCCUGGUAAAGCAAAUAUUCAUUGGAAGAAAAUGGAUAUAAUAAAUGACACUGUUAAUUCUGAUGUAGAAAUAAUCGAAGCACCAAUAAUAUCUAGUCCAUACAAUAAGUUACAAUCUUUCCAUAGAUCAGCUUCAUUUAAUGGUGCAGAAGAACUUUUAUUUGAAAAAGAUAAUUUAAAUGACAGUUCAAAAAAAUUAGAGAGGCCUAAUAAAUUGGUAAAGUCUAGUGCUAUUUCAAAAUUGAGAAAACAAAGUGGAUUAGGAACUACAAAAGCACUUGGAAUUUCUCCUGGAUGCAUUCUAGUUUUGAAGAGAAAGGAUCAGAAAAAUUAUCACAAGGAAAAAGUUCACCGCAACAGCAAAAUUCAAGUAAAAAAGAGCUUUCAGCUUUAGAUAGUCUGGUUAUUUCUGCAAUUCAUCAGUUGUCCAUAAAAUUACGUACAAGAGCUCGUUGCUUAUUAGAAAAAGAAGGGCAAAAAUAUUCAGAGAAAAGUGAUAUUCGAUUAAUGAUU